GGGAGGGCGCCUCAUUCCUCCUGCUUUCUCAGCAGCCUAUGAGAUGAUUUAUUGGAGCUCAGAGUUCUGGG
rfam:Camelus ferus unplaced genomic scaffold scaffold105, whole genome shotgun sequence.